GCUGAUGAACUUUUAACUAAAGAAGAAAACAUUUAUUAAACAUGAAACAACAUCCUUCAACCACAACUUUACCUUUACAGCCGUGUACAGAUUUUUGACGACUUGUUGUUCACUUCCAGCACUUCGACUUUCUUCCAUAUUUCCAGCAUUUGAAACCCUGCUUCUGCUGUAGUUUUGACCAAAAAGAGAAUUUGAUCCAUUUUUGGAGAAAAUAAGAACAGAGACCCGGGCCCUAACGACUGCAGCUGCCAAGCUGAAACCUGUCUUUUGAUAAGCAGAUUUCUUCAGAGCUCAAAUCAAAAUGAUUAGAGGCCUGCAUUACUGCAAGAGGGUCAAGCAAUACUUGGGACCACUCUGUGGGACUUCAAAUUCUCAGAAGGCUUAUCAUGAACACACUAUUUCAUUGAGGGAGGCUGUGUGAUGGAGGCAAUCAUAUGAAGUGGGGAUGCAGCAGCAGUUUGGUGCUGGUGAAAUUUUCUGGCAUCAACGUUAAUUUGGCCUGAACAUGACUUUGAUUAAUGGCAUAUCUUAACUAGAGUGCUCUAGGGGAAAAUAAACCUGACUUUCAAGACUGGUGUAAGUGAUAAAAACUGCAACAUAGAAAGAACCAUGUUAAUCAAAGUUUUUGGUGUGAAAUAGUAGAACUGGUGACAAUAGCUUGUGGUGGGAGGUGGGGGUGUGGUGCAUAUGUAAAGGAUUGAAAGGGUUAUAGUGUGGAUCCAGAAUGAAAAAUUGACUGCAAUGUUUGAGUGCAGCGUGGUUUCAGGAGAUCAUGUCACAUAUGUAUUGCAGGAUUGAAAAAGCUUAAAGGGGCAGUUUUUUCUGAUUCCACGUUUGGAUGAUGCCACAUUUGCUUGUAGAUGAACAAAAAGAAUGGAUCUCACCUUUGAUUUGGUGCCAUUACAACACUUUCAAUACUUCUGUCACUUUGUAAACUAGCUUGUUUUGCAUAUUGCUAAAAUAUUGAACAUUUUAAUAACACAUCAUAGCCUGGGAGCUGUACACACACUUGGCUGACAAAUGAUAUAGUAUACAGAAUAGUCUGAGCAGCUUUAAAGAGAAAUUCCUUUUUUUUAAAAAAAAAAGGCAACAUACUAUUUAACACUAUUGUCAACCAUCUAUCAAAAUUGGCCAUUUUGCAAGAUUAACAAAGUUGUAGCACUAUCAUCUCCAGGUGAAUAUAUAUUCCCUAGACUGGCCGUUUUUAAGAGGUUAGACAGAAGACUUUUUUUUUAAUCCUUUACAAUGGGAGGUCGCUGACAAAGCCAGCAUUUGUUGCCCCUGACCUUAGGUCAUUUCAGAGGGCAUUUAAGAGUCAGCCACAUUGGUCUGGAGUCACAUGUAGGCAACAACUGAAGAUAGUUCCAGAUUUAUGAACUAAAUUCAAAUUCCAUCAGCUGUCGUGGUGGGGUUUGAACCCACGUCCUCAGAACAUUAGCCGUGGUCUCUGGAUUACUUGUCCAGUCUAUGCCACUGUCUUCCCUAACGUUCAAAGUUCAUUAUAAAACUCAUGUCAAUAUUGAAAAUGAUUAGGUUAUCAAAGCUAUUAGAGAAUUUCUGGGGAAAGUUGCACUGAACAAUAACCUAGAAAUUUAUUGAAAGCUGACCAACAGCUUCAGAAAGAUUGACAACCCUGAAUAUAAGUUUAUGACAUUGGAACAAGUUUCUAACCCAAGCUGAGGUACACCCAACAUUCCUUCACUAGUAUUUGAGGAACUAUUAAGAUGGUGGAAGGAGAGCCUACCAACAAUUUCAAAAGGAAAUUGGAUUGGAAAUAAACUUGCAGGGCUACAGGAAUAGAGCAAAGGAAUGGGACUGACUGGGAUUGCUCCACAGAAAACCAACAUGAACUCAAUGGGCUGAAUAAGCUCCUUCUGUGCCGUUAUGACCCGAUGACGCUAAAUAAAUCAAUGUUUAUAAAGGCAAGCACACCAUUUUCCAAAGUAGCCUAAAUUUCUUUGAAGAAUUUGACACUUGAGAGUCAGGCGAUAUUCACCACAAGGGAGAGAAAGAGAAAGCGAGCGAGAGAGCAUAUGGGUGGUCGCAACCAAACCUAAUCUGUACUCACCUGAUGUUCACACAUUAAAAAUUCUAGUAAGAAUCCAAUCAUGAUCAAGACUAUUACUAUUUUUACCCUCUUGCCAUAGGGACAUUGAGACCAACAAUGAUGGAGUCCUUGCCAUUUUCCUGGCUAAGGUCAGCUAGCUCAACAUAAGAAUUGGAGAUGUCUGGAUGGGUAAAUUCACUGAGCCACUGGAGAACAGUACCACUCAUUUUCAUAACUAAGCAUUUUGUAUUAUAAGCUGUUUAAAUAAAGUUCUUAAUAUUUUAAUGCAGUAUUCUGCCCCCAAUGCUGAAGGUGUAUGGCUAUACAAUUUGACAUUUUCCUAGACAAUAAAAAUUACAGACCCUAAA